rnacentral:rRNA from 1 species
UACGGAGGGUGCAAACGUUGCUCGGAAUUAUUGGGCGUAAAGCGCACGUAGGCGGACCAUCAAGUCGGUUGUGAAAUCCCUCGGCUUAACCGAGGACGUGCAGUCGAAACUGAUGGCCUUGAGUACGAAAGAGGGUCGCGGAAUUCCCGGUGUAGAGGUGAAAUUCGUAGAUAUCGGGAGGAACACCAGUGGCGAAGGCGGCGCCUGGGUCGAUACUGACGCUGAGGGUGGCGAAAGCGUGGGGAGCAAACAGGG